rnacentral:rRNA from 1 species
UACAGAGGGGGCAAGCGUUAUUCGGAAUUAUUGGGCGUAAAGGGCGCGUAGGCGGCUUGGCAAGUGGAUGGUGAAAGCCCUCGGCUUAACCGAGGAGCUGCCUGUCAGACUGGAUGGCUUGAGACCGGGAGAGGUGAGUGGAAUUCCCAGUGUAGCGGUGAAAUGCGUAGAUAUUGGGAGGAACACCAGUGGCGAAGGCGGCUCACUGGACCGGAACUGACGCUGAGGCGCGAAAGCGUGGGGAGCAAACAGG